rnacentral:tRNA from 1 species
GGCGGCAUAGUGGUUAAGCGUUUGGCUGCUAACCAAAAGGUUAGCGGUUCAAAUCCAGUAGCCG